AGGGCGGUGGCGGAAAGGUGAGACGCGCUGUGGUGGAGCGGCCAUUUAAGGUGUAGCAGGCACUCGAUAGAGUCCGUUCGGGUAUGGCCAUGCAGGGUUCGAUUCCCUGCCCGCCCUG
rnacentral:tRNA from 1 species